GACGGGGGCCCGCACAAGCAGUGGAGUAUGUGGUUUAAUUCCAAGCAACGCGAAGAACCUUACCAGGGCUUGACAUCCUCUGUCCGCUCUAGAGAUAGAGUUUCCCUUNGGGGCAGAGAGACAGGUGGUGCAUGGUUGUCGUCAGCUCGUGUCGUGAGAUGUUUGGUUAAGUCCAAUAACGAGCGCAACCCCUAUGGUCAGUUGCCAUCAUUUAGUUGGGCACUCUGGCAAGACUGCCGCGGACAACGCGGAGGAAGGAGGGGANGACGUCAAAUCAUCAUGCCCCUUAUGUCCUGGGCUACACACGUAAUACAAUGGCAUCGACAGAGGGCAGCGAAUCCGCGAGGGCAAGCAAAUCCCCAAACGUUGUCUCAGUUCGGACUGCAGGUAUGCAACCCAGCCUGCACGGAAUGUCGGAAUUGCUAUGUAAUGGCAGGUCAGCAUACUGUCCUGUGAAUACGUUCCCGGGCCGUUGUACACACCGCCCAGUCUCACCAUGAGAGUCUGCAAUACCCGAAGUCAGUAGCCUAACCGCAAGGAGGGCGCUGCCGAAGGUAGGGCCGAUAAUUGGGGUGAAGUCGUAACAAGGUAGCCGUAUCGGAA
rnacentral:rRNA from 1 species